GAUUCCCCUAGUAACUGCGAGUGAAGCGGGAAAAGCUCAAAUUUAAAAUCUGGCGGUCUUUGGCCGUCCGAGUUGUAGUCUGGAGAAGUGCUUUCCGCGCUGGACCGUGUACAAGUCUCCUGGAACGGAGCGUCAUAGAGGGUGAGAAUCCCGUCUUUGACACGGACUACCAGUGCUCUGUGAUGCGCUCUCAAAGAGUCGAGUUGUUUGGGAAUGCAGCUCAAAAUGGGUGGUGAAUUCCAUCUAAAGCUAAAUAUUGGCGAGAGACCGAUAGCGAACAAGUACCGUGAGGGAAAGAUGAAAAGCACUUUGGAAAGAGAGUUAAACAGUACGUGAAAUUGCUGAAAGGGAAACGCUUGAAGUCAGUCGCGUCGGCCGGAACUCAGCCUUGCUUCCGCUUGGUGUACUUUCCGGUCGACGGGCCAGCAUCGAUUUCGACCGUCGGAAAAAUGCGGGGGGAAUGUGGCACCUUCGGGUGUGUUAUAGCCCUUCGUUGCAUACGACGGUUGGGAUCGAGGAUCGCAGCACGCCUUUAUGGUCGGGGUUCGCCCACGUACGUGCUUAGGAUGCUGGCGUAAUGGCUUUAAACGACCCGUCUUGAAACACGGACCAAGGAGUCUAACAUACCCGCGAGUGUUUGGGUGGAAAACCCGAGCGCGUAAUGAAAGUGAAAACCGAGACCCCUGUCAUGGGGGGCACCGGUGCCCGGACCUGAAGUUCUCUGACGGCUCCGCGGUAGAGCGUGCAUGUUGGGACCCGAAAGAUGGUGAACUAUGCCUGAAUAGGGUGAAGCCAGAGGAAACUCUGGUGGAGGCUCGUAGCGAUUCUGACGUGCAAAUCGAUCGUCAAAUUUGGGUAUAGGGGCGAAAGACUAAUCGAACCAUCUAGUAGCUGUCUGCGAGCUUCCUCAGAUAGCAGAACUC
rnacentral:rRNA from 1 species